CCAUGGCCGACCCACGGCCCUGCCAGCCCCACAGCUGACCCACGGCCACCCCACGGCCCUGCCAGCCCCACGGCUGCCCCAUGGCCGACCCACGGCCCUGCCAGCCCCACGGCCACCCCACGGCCACCCCACGGCUGACCCACGGCCCUGCCAGCCCCACGGCCAACCCACGGCUGCCCCAUAGCCCCUGCCAGCCCCAUGGCUGCCCCACGGCCACCCAACGGCUGCCCCACGGCUGCCCCAUAGCCCCUGCCAGCCCACGGCCAACCCACGGCCCUGCCAGCCCCACAGCGCCAGGGCUGCCCCACACCCCAGCCAGCCCCAGAGCCCCACAAGUGCCCCAUGGCCACCCCAUGGCCUUUGCCAGCCCCACAGCUGCCCCGUGGCUGCCCCACAGCCCUGCCAGCCCCACAGCUGCAGCCCCACAGCCCGCAGCACCCGCCCCUCGCCCCGUUUCCGCGUUUUCACCGUUUCCCGUUUUUCGCCCCGUUUCCCGCAGGCCUGUUACCUGCGGGGGCUGAACCCCGCGCGCCUGGAGCCGCCCGAGUGCCGCGCGUGGCUGGAGCGCUGGCUGCGCCUCUCGGGGCAGCUCGCAGCCUCGGAGGCGUCUCUGCUGGCGCACAGCACGGUGCUGCUGGCGCUCAACCACCAACGCGCCUGACGCCCCAAUUCUGCCCCAAAACCGGCGUUUUGGGGCCGCCGAAGCGCCAGAGGGACCCGCGGGGACUCCCGGCGCCGUCCCGGGCCCACCCGGAUCAUCCGUGUUUGGUGACACCAGAUCAUCUGUGUUCGGUGACUCCGGAUCAUCUGUGUUCGGUGACUCUGGAUCAUCCACGUUCGGUGACUCCGGAUCAUCUGUGUUCGGUGACACCGAGUCGCAUCGCCGGGGACACGCGGCUCCGUGGGCUCCGUCGCGCUGCUCGGACCGGGGGGGUCGCGGCGCCGCUUCGCUGGGUUUGGUAGAGAAAAACUGCGCCGAGAACCGGGAAAAGACCCAAACAUCCCCCGCGGUGGCACCGGGGGGCCCGGGGGGGUCCGGGGUCUUGAGCCGCGGCGGAAGCGGCACCAAAACGGGGUGAAAAGCGUCAAAAUCCGGCUGGUGAGUGAACUGUUCGCAUCGAGGCAAAAACCUGCAAAACGGCUUUUUUCAGCAUUUUUUGGGGUGAAAUCCGGCGGCGUCUGCGCCGGGAUCUGCGCCCCCCCCCCCCCCUCCCCCCGCCAGGACGCACCGGGGGGGUCAGACCCUUUCAAACGCGACUCGCCGCGCAACUUUGAGCGUUUCUUUUAUUUUUACACUUAAAUAUUUCUCUUUAAAUACAGCGAUAUCACCAGCGGGAGGACGGAAGAGGCCGGGGGGGCGGGGGGGGCAAUAAAGACAUUUGGAGCAGCUUUGGAUCCACACGGAAAACGGAAAAUAAACGUUAAAAAAAGCCA